rnacentral:rRNA from 1 species
UUGGAGGGCAAGUCUGGUGCCAGCAGCCGCGGUAAUUCCAGCUCCAAUAGCGUAUAUUAAAGUUGUUGCAGUUAAAAAACUCGUAGUUGAAUUUCGGGGUUAGUAGGUUGGUCAUGCCUCUGGUAUGUACUGGUCUCACUGGUUCCUCCUUCCUUAUGAACCGUAAUGCCAUUAAUUUGGUGUUGCGGGGAAUUUGGACUGUUACUUUGAAAAAAUUAGAGUGUUUAAAGCAAGCUAACGCUUGAAUACAUUAGCAUGGAAUAAUGAAAUAGGACGUUCGAUCUUAUUUUGUUGGUUUCUAGGAUUGACGUAAUGAUUAAUAGGGAUAGUUGGGGGCAUUAGUAUUCAAUUGUCAGAGGUGAAAUUCUUGGAUUUAUUGAAGACUAACUACUGCGAAAGCAUUUGCCAAGGAUGUUUUCAUUAAUCAAGAACGAAAGUUAGGGGAUCGAAGACGAUCAGAUACCGUCGUAGUCUUAACCAUAAACUAUGCCGACUAGGGAUCGGAUGAUGUUAAUUUUUUAAUGACUCAUUCGGCGCCUUACGGGAAAC